UGAAUCGCACUUCCCAUCAAAGUCUUCAAGUUCAAGGCCAAAAAAGAGGUGAGCAAUUCCUCAUUUUAGCUCUCAUGGCGCCUCCCAGGAAAUCAAAGAAAAGCAAGAAAGAUAGGAAAUUGAAGAAAACGCGUUCCAGUCGAGCCUAAAGCCGCAGACUCUGACUGGUGGGAUAGUUUCUUCAACCCAAAAAAGAGAUAGGAAAGCUGAAGAAGGGGCUUAAUCCAAUGUGGACCUUCUGUUUGUGUCUCCUUAUCUGACAACAGCUUUCAAAACUGAAGUCAUAGCUCUCGCCGAAGGAAUAGCAGUAGGGAGAAGCUUUUCCAUAUUCAAGAAUUACCACAUUGAUGGGAACAAAGAAAUAAUUGCCAUUGGGAUGAUGAACAUUGCUGGUUCUUGCACUUCUUGCUACCUCACCACAGGGCCGUUUUCCAGAUCAGCAGUUAACUACAAUGCAGGAUGCAAGACAGCAAUGUCGAAUGUUGUCAUGGCAAUUGCGGUUAUGCUCACGUUGUUGUUCCUCACUCCUCUGUUCCAUUACACUCCCUUGGUUGUGCUGUCUGCUAUUAUAAUAGCCGCCAUGCUCGGCCUCAUAGACUAUGAAGCUGCAAUUCACCUCUGGAAGGUUGAUACGUUUGACAUUGUUGUCUGCAUGAGUGCCUAUAUCGGCGUCGUUUUUGGCAGCCUUGAAAUUGGACUAGUCUUAGGGGGUACUUUUGUUUCUGGCAAGGCCAAGGACUUUCAUUCAGGGAAACCUUCUGAAUUCCAUGGUUUACAGAAAUGUUGAGCAGUAUCCCAAUGCAAGCAAUGUUCCUGGAAUUCUCAUACUUUGAGAUUGAUGCUCCCAUUUACUUUGCAAAUACCAACUACUUAAGAGAAAGGUACUAAUUAAUUAAACCUGAACACACUCUUGCAUGUUAUAAGCUUAUUAUUGAUUGUGUAAACCAAGCUGCUUCCAUCCCUUGGAGCAUUAAGCUGCUUAUUCAGGAUAUUCUCUUGUUGUGUUCCAUUUGUGAGAAAAUGGCUUGUAAGCAUGUGUUUAGGGAGGCUAAUUUUACGAUUAAUGUUCUUGCCAACUUUGGGCAUGAGCUUAUUCCGUUUAAGUUGUGGAAGAAUGGGCUACCUUUGAAAUA